UUGUUUUGCUUCAUCAGUUGGUGAGAUUGGAUUCGAAACUGUUGUACCCUCAUCUUCACUAAACCCAUAAAUCGGAACAUUCCUAGACAAUUUAUCUCUUAUAGGCAUUUCAUCAAAACACACGAUAAGCAACAUCCAGAGGUUUUGUUGGUGUAGCCUGAGUGAUAGUUUGAAUGGGUUUAAGGUCACGAAUUGAGGUGGAAUGGUG
rnacentral:lncRNA from 1 species